rnacentral:tRNA from 1 species
CAGAAUAUAGCGAAAUGGUAUCGUAUUAGCUUUGGGAGUUAAGGGUUGUAAGUUCGAAUCUUACUAUUCUGA